ensembl:misc_RNA
CCCCAGGCACACGAGGCCUCUACUGCGGCUGCGCGGCCCGCUGGAGCACGUGCGGCUUCUACUGCGGCUGCGCGACCUCGGCGCGCGCGCAUGCUCGUCGGCGUCCUAGGGCUCCUCCCUCCAGCCUAAGUCCCUCGGGGCGACUGUGCUGCCUACGCUUUCCG